CGAACGCUGGCGGCGUGCUUAACACAUGCAAGUCGAACGGAAAGGCCCUGCUUUUGUGGGGUGCUCGAGUGGCGAACGGGUGAGUAACACGUGAGUAACCUGCCCUUGACUUUGGGAUAACUUCAGGAAACUGGGGCUAAUACCGGAUAGGAGCUCCUGCUGCAUGGUGGGGGUUGGAAAGUUUCGGCGGUUGGGGAUGGACUCGCGGCUUAUCAGCUUGUUGGUGGGGUAGUGGCUUACCAAGGCUUUGACGGGUAGCCGGCCUGAGAGGGUGACCGGCCACAAUGGGACUGAGAUACGGCCCAGACUCCUACGGGAGGCAGCAGUGGGGAAUAUUGCACAAUGGGCGGAAGCCUGAUGCAGCAACGCCGCGUGCGGGAUGACGGCCUUCGGGUUGUAAACCGCUUUCGCCUGUGACGAAGCGUGAGUGACGGUAAUGGGUAAAGAAGCACCGGCUAACUACGUG
rnacentral:rRNA from 1 species